GAUGAACGCUGGCGGCGUGCCUAAUACAUGCAAGUCGAGCGAACAGACGAGGAGCUUGCUCCUCUGACGUUAGCGGCGGACGGGUGAGUAACACGUGGAUAACCUACCUAUAAGACUGGGAUAACUUCGGGAAACCGGAGCUAAUACCGGAUAAUAUAUUGAACCGCAUGGUUCAAUAGUGAAAGACGGUUUUGCUGUCACUUAUAGAUGGAUCCGCGCCGCAUUAGCUAGUUGGUAAGGUAACGGCUUACCAAGGCAACGAUGCGUAGCCGACCUGAGAGGGGGAUCGGCCACACUGGAACUGGGACACGGUCCAGACUCCUACGGGAGGCAGCAGUAGGGAAUCUUCCGCAAUGGGCGAAAGCCUGACGGAGCAACGCCGCGUGAGUGAUGAAGGUCUUCGGAUCGUAAAACUCUGUUAUUAGGGAAGAACAAAUGUGUAAGUAACUAUGCACGUCUUGACGGUACCUAAUCAGAAAGCCACGGCUAACUACGUG
rnacentral:rRNA from 1 species